rnacentral:rRNA from 1 species
GACGAACGCUGGCGGCGUGGAUUAGGCAUGCAAGUCGAACGGUAUCAUCCUUUCGGGGGUGAGAGAGUGGCGAACUGGUGAGUAACACGUAGGUUAUCUACCCUCAAGACGGGGACAACCCAGGGAAACUUGGGCUAAUACCGGAUGUGAGCAACUUUUAGUUGUUUGAAAGGUGGCGUAAGCUGUCGCUUGGGGAUGAGCCUGCGUCCUAUUAGUUAGUUGGUGAGGUAAUGGCUUACCAAGGCGAUGAUAGGUAGGCGGCCUUAACGGGUGGUCGCCCACACUGGGAUUGAGAGACGGCCCAGACUCCUACGGGAGGCAGCAGUCGAGAAUAGUCUACAAUGGACGGAAGUCUGAUAGUGCGACGCCGCGUGUGCGAUGAAGGUCUUCGGAUUGUAAAGCACUUUUUGGAGGGAUGAGGAAGGACAGUACCUCCAGAAUAAGCCUCGGCUAACUACGUG